rnacentral:lncRNA from 10 species
UGGGUCACCUGAGGUCAGAAGUUUGAGACCAGCCUGGCCAACAUAGCAAAACCCUGUUUCUACUAAAUAUAUAUAUAUAUAUAUAUAAAAUAUUUAUAUAUAAAUUAUAUGUAUAUAUAUAUUUAUAUAUAGAUAGACAUGUAUCUUACAUACACAUAUCUUAAAAUUCCUCCUAUAUGUGUGUGCUUAUGUAUAUGUAUAUGCAUAUCACAUCUGUGUGUGUGUGGAAGCUAGGGAAGAGGAAAAUGAAUUCUUGUAUUUUGAGAGCUUAUUAACACUUUAAGAGAAGUUAACUGAAUUCAAGUAUUAUACACUAUGGACAUCACUGGCUGGCAAGUCUUAAACAUUCAGUCUUUCUUUUUCUUUUAUUAUCUGUAUCAUAGUUCACAAAUUAUACUAGUCUAUGUUCUAAUUACCGGGGAAAUUCUCUUGGGGAAAAAAUGGUGGUGACAGUCUAAUCUUUGUAAAUAUGGUAACUGGACCCUUGGAUAAAUUAACUAAUAAUAUUUGUGAGGGCAGUUUUUACUUACAGAAUGCUUUUAGUAGCUUAUUUCUAGGUGAAGAUUGCACAUGGCAAACACAAUAUAUAUAUAUAUAUAUUUAUGAAGCAUUGUUCUUUGGAGAAUGUUGUACAACUUAUAUACUCUUGUAGUAUAAAAUGGCACUAUUUCAUAAAUAAAAUACUCCCUGCUGUAUUAGAUGACUAAUCAAACCCAUUUGAGUCCUCAUCUAUGACUCUGGGCCAAAAACACAAGUCCAUUGUGGAAAGAAAGAACGUGGGAUGCAACAUGGAAUGCCCCAGGCUUCUGCCUUCUUCGUCUCUUCCUCUAAAAUAGAGUUCGAUACUGGGUAAGAUCUAUGAAGUGUGGUAAUCUGACUGGACAAUCCGAUCUGAUAUAUUGGUGUCCACUCAGAUCACUCAGAUUUGUGCUAUGAAAAUUAAUGUCCUUCGGUUCAAUGAAUCAAAAUUUUGGCAAGAAAAUUGAAUGGAUAGAAAAUAUAGUGAAAAUAAAAUAGUGGAUGAUUGCUACUCACCUUAGUAUAAAUAGAUAAAAGAUUUGAUGCAAAUUACUGUAAAUGAGUCUUACCAAUGGGAUUUGGAAGACAUAGGCAUCAACUAGGAUAAAUUAAGGAAGUCAAUUGAUAACAAAUGCAAGGCUAAGGAAAAUGUGGCAAAAAAUUAUAUUUAUUUGCUGCUGUAACAGUUCUAGUAAAAUCUAUAUCAGCACUGUCCAAUAGAAAUAUAAUGUGAGCCACAAAUGCAAGCUGUAUUUAUAAUUUAAAAUUUUCCAGUAGCUCCAGUCACUAGAGUAAAAAAAGGUGAAAUUAAUUUUGAUUAAACAAUUAAUUCAAAAUAUUAUUCAAAAUAUUAUUUUACCAUGUAAUCAAUAUAAAAUUUAUUAAAAGGCUAUUCUAUAUUAAUAUCUUAUACUAAAACUUUGCAAACCAGAGUGUAUUUUAACACUUAGAAGGUGUCUCUGUUUGGACUAGACAUAUUUCUAGUGCUCAAUGUAUGCUCAACAUAUGGCUAGUGGUGAGUGUGCUGGAUAGAGCAGGCCUAAGUCUAGAUAAAAACAAAAAGAGGAGAGAAAGAUGAGAGUAUGAGAGUAAAAGAUAAUUCUGCAGGACUAGUUUUUUCUAUCUCUGGAUAAUGUUCUUAUAAUUUUUUUUGCUAGCUGCAAGAUUUAUAUUAACCUGCAAAUUGAAGCAAAUAAGGUCAUUGAUUAACCAAAAGACUGUAUAGGUAGCCAGAGACUAAAUUCAGAUGACUAUAUAAUGUGAAUGCAUUCUAGUAAACAACUGAUAUAUUUUUAGAAGUAAAUUAUAACAGACAACUGUUGAAUCAUUAUUGGUAUAGAUUCUUAGGUUUAAUGAUCAGGAGGGAACUUUGCUAAUUUUAGAUACUAUUGAAUUAAAGGGAUUACUUGGUUGAACACAGAUGCCAAGGUGGCUACAAGUUUUUGUGAGCAGAUGCAUCUACAUGGUAUGGCAGCUGAUCUAUUGCUGUGAUUUAGGUGCUGGUUGAACAGACCUAACUUGGGAGGGUAGCAAGCAAUCUUACCUUCUGCCCUCUGCCUCAAAUUUAAUACUCCGUUUUAAGGGAAGUGGUCAGGGAUUUUGGCUUUUGGGAUUGUGGUUCUCAGCCAAGUAUUAUUUUAUCCUGACUAACACUCACAUUGUGCUUUAUCACCACCUGUGACUUCAUUCAUGGAAUUGACUGGGCAUCGCAGGGUGAAUAAGUGAAACAUUACUCCUGUAUUUUUGAAAAUAUUGUAUCAUUUUAUGAAUAUUUGGAAAUGUCAGGGUGAGUGCCCCUUGUGUAAUACUUUCUUUUCUUGGUAGCUAAUAAUAAUAAUAAUAAUCCAUGCAGAUAUACCUGUUAGUUGGGAAUGAAGCCAAAUCAUUGAUUUAAGAUUUCAUCAUGAGCAGAUGCUGCUAGAGGUCUCCCUUGCUUCACUUAUUAUGAAAAUCAUGUCUUUAAAAGAAGCAUCAUAUCUCUUAAAUCAACUUUAGUUGGUGGUGAUAACACAGUAAUAAAGUUUAUCCUUUGAGUAAAGAAAGGGCAAG